UACAGAGGGGGCAAGCGUUGUUCGGAAUUACUGGGCGUAAAGGGCGCGUAGGCGGCCUACUAAGUCAGACGUGAAAUCCCCCGGCUUAACCUGGGAACUGCGUCUGAUACUGGAAGGCUUGAGGAUGGGAGAGGGAUGUAGAAUUCCAGGUGUAGCGGUGAAAUGCGUAGAUAUCUGGAGGAAUACCGGUGGCGAAGGCGGCAUCCUGGACCAUUACUGACGCUGAGGCGCGAAAGCUAGGGGAGCAAACGGG
rnacentral:rRNA from 1 species